CCAGCUUCCAUGGUAGGUAGCCAUGGCACAUACGUAGUAGUAGUGCAUCUCACAGCCGCACUAUUCCGUACGACCUGUUUUUGACGCCUACUUCUGUCCAAGUUCCAAGACCCGGACCCUGAAUCGUGGCCCAUUUCGGGGGAUCUGACUGGUUAUGGAGCGGUGUGGCAGGAUUGUGCGUGUAAACCUACUGCGUACAGAAACAACAUACGUACUUUUUGCUUUUGCUCGCGUAAGAGACCCUACGGAGCAUUUCUGGGAGGAUGGAUUGGUGAGGUUCUUCUAUAGUGAAAGUGGCGUUGAUAGAGGCUCCACAUCGCUGGGCCCACGCAGAGUUUGCCUCGUACUUGUUUAUUUCACAUUCCCUUUCACAUCCAUGGAUUUUGCCUAUUGACCAAGUGCUUUAAAGCUUGACAUAGCAUGGAAUAGGAUUGCACAGUCGAUUUCACGGGGUGUAGCAUUCAACGCUCGAGCACUCGUACCUGUGCUCUGUACUCUGUCUGUCCCAUCUCAAAAGACGAAGGAUAGCACAGAAGAGCGAGAGACUCAGACUAAACAUGUCAACAGAUGUCACUAGGCCAUAUCGGAUCAUGGCCUUAAAAUUCUCUCAGCCCUCGUAUUGUCAAUAUGUCACGACUGUUUGGACUCCAGUGAUGUUCCAUGGAAGGCUACCCUACCAAGUACGGUGCCGGAGCGGACGGAUGAUUAUCGGGUUCCCGAUACUUAUAGCAAUGCCGUAUUCCACUCCAUCCAUGGAUCUCUGUUUUAUUCGACGUUGUUGUGGCGAGUACGUAGCACGGCCAUCAACAUUUGAUUACAGUUAUUGUUAUCAAGCAGAGAGAUUAUAUGCCGUGAUGCUGUGAUGUUCUGAGUCACAUCGUUAAGGUGUAUAACUAGCGGUUGUCCAAGGAUAUCCAUGCCUCCUGCUAGCCGUGUACGGAAUCAAUGGUUAGUUCAAGCCACGACUCGUAUGUGCCCACUACCAAUGGUCAAUCGCCAAACAAGUGACAGACAGGCUGGCCAUGAGGUCAUCCAUUGUAGAAGGGGGAUUCAGCUACCAAGCUGCCUGCCUAACGAUGGCAUCGGUGGCACCUACCGGUGCCUAUCAUAUCGACAAGCAAUUCGCCCUCUGAUAUUUCGAUCUCAUCGUGUCGUACACCAUUAACAGCGACUAUGGAUAAACAGUGUGACUUUUGACUACUAAAGAGAAAACUGAUACGAAAAAUUAAAAAAUAAAAAACAUAUCCAAGACAUACAUAUGCACCUGCUGAGCUGGCACAGUAGUAGCCUCAGCCCAGUGACUGCAACGGGCCUUAUGUAGGCGCUCCACCUAUGCGCACUACAGAGUAUACUAUCCCCUAUCCCGGCCACUUGUGUCUUGUGGUGUGCAUAAGCUUGCAUUAGCUUGUAGUACGUAGUACGUUUUUAAUAAUGCGAAGGACGUGCAAUUCAACCCCAUACAAAAUGACCAGACCCGCGCUCCCAAGGU
rnacentral:lncRNA from 1 species